rnacentral:rRNA from 1 species
AACGAACGCUGGCGGCAGGCUCAACACAUGCAAGUCGAGCGCCCCGCAAGGGGAGCGGCAGACGGGUGAGUAACGCGUGGGAAUCUACCGUGCCCUACGGAAUAGCUCCGGGAAACUGGAAUUAAUACCGUAUACGCCCUACGGGGGAAAGAUUUAUCGGGGUAUGAUGAGCCCGCGUUGGAUUAGCUAGUUGGUGGGGUAAAGGCCUACCAAGGCGACGAUCCAUAGCUGGUCUGAGAGGAUGAUCAGCCACAUUGGGACUGAGACACGGCCCAAACUCCUACGGGAGGCAGCAGUGGGGAAUAUUGGACAAUGGGCGCAAGCCUGAUCCAGCCAUGCCGCGUGAGUGAUGAAGGUCUUAGGAUUGUAAAGCUCUUUCACCGGUGAAGAUAAUGACGGUAACCAGAGAAGAAGCCCCGGCUAACUUCGUGCCAGCCGCCGCAGUAA